rnacentral:rRNA from 1 species
CGUAACACGUAUACAAUCUGCCUUUAACUGGGGGAUAGCCCGGAGAAAUCCGGAUUAAUACCCCAUAAUAUAUUGAAUAGCAUUAUUUGAUAUUGAAAGCUCCGGCGGUUAGAGAUGAGUAUGCGUCUGAUUAGUUAGUUGGUGAGGUAACGGCUCACCAAGACCACGAUCAGUAGGGGAUCUGAGAGGAUUAACCCCCACACGGAUACUGAGACACGGAUCCG